rnacentral:tRNA from 1 species
GUCCCCAUCGUCUAGCCUGGUCCAGGACACCGGCCUUUCACGCCGGCAACCGGGGUUCAAAUCCCCGUGGGGACGCCA